rnacentral:rRNA from 1 species
UACGUAGGGUGCAAGCGUUAAUCGGAAUUACUGGGCGUAAAGCGUGCGCAGGCGGUUAUGUAAGACAGAUGUGAAAUCCCCGGGCUCAACCUGGGAACUGCAUUUGUGACUGCACGGCUGGAGUGCGGCAGAGGGGGGAUGGAAUUCCGCGUGUAGCAGUGAAAUGCGUAGAUAUGCGGAGGAACACCGAUGGCGAAGGCAAUCCCCUGGGCCUGCACUGACGCUCAUGCACGAAAGCGUGGGG